rnacentral:rRNA from 1 species
AUUGAACGCAGGCGGCAUGCCUUACACAUGCAAGUCGAACGGUAACAGGUCUUCGGAUGCUGACGAGUGGCGAACGGGUGAGUAAUACAUCGGAACGUGCCUAGUAGUGGGGGAUAACUACUCGAAAGAGUGGCUAAUACCGCAUGAGAUCUACGGAUGAAAGCAGGGGAUCGCAAGACCUUGUGCUACUAGAGCGGCCGAUGGCAGAUUAGGUAAUUGGUGGGAUAAAAGCUUACCAAGCCGACGAUCUGUAGCUGGUCUGAGAGGACGAUCAGCCACACUGGGACUGAGAAACGGCCCAGACUCCUACGGGAGGCAGCAGUGGGGAAUUUUGGACAAUGGGCGAAAGCCUGAUCCAGCAAUGCCGCGUGCAGGAUGAAGGCCUUCGGGUUGUAAACUGCUUUUGUACGGAACGAAAAGCCCCGGGUUAAUACCCUGGGGUCAUGACGGUACCGUAAGAAUAAGCACCGGCUAACUACGUGCCAGCCGCCGCAGUAA